rnacentral:rRNA from 1 species
UACGGAGGAUGCAAGCGUUAUCCGGAAUGAUUGGGCGUAAAGCGUCCGCAGGUGGCAAUGUAAGUCUGCUGUCAAAGCGUCUGGCUCAACCAGAUAAAGGCAGUGGAAACUACAUAGCUAGAGUAAGGUAGGGGUAGAGGGAAUUCCAGGUGUAGCGGUGAAAUGCGUAGAUAUCUGGAGGAACACCGGUGGCGAAGGCGGCAUCCUGGACCAACACUGACGCUGAGGAGCGAAAGCCAGGGGAGCAAACGGG